rnacentral:rRNA from 1 species
GAUGAACGCUGGCGGCGUGCCUAAUACAUGCAAGUCGAGCGAACAGACGAGGAGCUUGCUCCUCUGACGUUAGCGGCGGACGGGUGAGUAACACGUGGAUAACCUACCUAUAAGACUGGGAUAACUUCGGGAAACCGGAGCUAAUACCGGAUAAUAUAUUUAACCGCAUGGUUCAAUAGUGAAAGACGGUUUUGCUGUCAUUUAUAGAUGGAUCCGCGCCGCAUUAGCUAGUUGGUAAGGUAACGGCUUACCAAGGCAACGAUGCGUAGCCGACCUGAGAGGGUGAUCGGCCACACUGGAACUGAGACACGGUCCAGACUCCUACGGGAGGCAGCAGUAGGGAAUCUUCCGCAAUGGGCGAAAGCUUGACGGAGCAACGCCGCGUGAGUGAUGAAGGUCUUCGGAUCGUAAAACUCUGUUAUUAGGGAAGAACAAAUGUGUAAGUAACUAUGCACGUCUUGACGGUACCUAAUCAGAAAGCCACGGCUAACUACGUG